rnacentral:rRNA from 1 species
CUACGGGGUGCUCCAGUGAGGAAUAUUGGUCAAUGGGCGAGAGCCUGAACCAGCCAUCCCGCGUGCAGGAUGACGGCCCUAUGGGUUGUAAACUGCUUUUCCAUACCAAGAAACCUGAUUACGGGUAAUUAGUUGCCGGUAGUAUGGGAAUAAGCAUCGGCUAACUCCGUGCCAGCAGCCGCGGUAAUACGGAGGAUGCAAGCGUUAUCCGGAUUCAUUGGGUUUAAAGGGUGCGCAGGUGGGCUUGUAAGUCAGUGGUGAAAUGUUGCCGCUUAACGGUAAAAUUGCCAUUGAUACUGCAAGUCUUGAAUAUAGUUGAGGUAGGCGGAAUGUGUUGUGUAGCGGUGAAAUGCAUAGAUAUGACACAGAACACCGAUUGCGAAGGCAGCUUACUAAGCUAUUAUUGACGCUGAGGCACGAAAGCGUGGGGAUCGAACAGGAUUAGAUACCCUUGUAGUC